AUUGAACGCUUGCGGCAGGCCUAACACAUGCAAGUCGAACGAGUGGCGGACGGGUGCGUAAUGUAUGGGAAACUGCCCGAUUGAGGGGGAUAACUACUGGAAACGGUAGCUAAUACCGCAUACUAUCGGAUGUCCCCAUAUGGGCUUAGCUAGUAGGUGGGGUAAAGGCUCACCUAGGCGACUAUCCCUAGCUGGUCUGAGAGGAUGACCAGCCAAACUGGAAGUGAGACGCGGUCCAGACUCCUACGGGAGGCAGCAGUGGGGAAUAUGGCACAAUGGGCGCAAGCCUGAUGCAGCCAGGCCGCGUGUAUGAAGAAGGCCUUAGGGUUGUAAAGUACUUUCAGCGGGGAGGCGUUACCCGCAGAAGAAGCACCGGCUAACUCCGUGCCAGCAGCCGCGGUAAUAC
rnacentral:rRNA from 1 species